rnacentral:rRNA from 1 species
UACGUAGGGUGCAAGCGUUGUCCGGAAUUAUUGGGCGUAAAGAGCUCGUAGGCGGUUUGUUGCGUCGGCUGUGAAAUUCCGAGGCUCAACCUCGGGUCUGCAGUCGAUACGAGCAAACUAGAGUGUUGCAGGGGAGACUGGAAUUCCUGGUGUAGCGGUGAAAUGCGCAGAUAUCAGGAGGAACGCCGGUGGCGAAGGCGGGUCUCUGGGCAACAACUGACGCUGGAGGAGCGAAAGCGUGGGGAGCGAACAGG